CAUACGUACUGAGACAUAAGAUAAGAUAAGAUAAGAUAAGAUAAGAUAAGAUAAGAUUAGAUAAAAUAAGAUAAUCCUUUAUUUGUCCCGCAGCGGGGACAUUUAUCGGAUUACAGCAGCAGAGGUUAUAGUGCAAACAAGAGACAUAGUAAAAGAAAAACAAGAUAAAAGAAAAUGAAAAAAAAGUAUUAUGAAUAAGCAACAAAAACAAUAAAAACAGUAAAGAAUCCACAAUAACUGAAACAUGAUAUGUACAGACAGAAAAACUAUUAUAACUAUAAUUGCGUCAUUGCUUGCUAGAUAGUAGGUGAAUGAUUGACUCCACUAUAGUAUCAUUUUAAAAUGUACUACACUUACAAUGUAACCUUUAAUCAUGUCUUUAUGUCCAAUACAGCUACCAGUGUUUAAAUAAAAAAAACACCUCUUAAUGUUUGCAAGUGCCUUUGUAUGUGAUAUAUGUUGAUAUACCUAUUUUAUCCAAAAUGGAAUUCAACACAGCAACUGAAAAAACAAACUUUUGCUCUUUUAUGUCUUUCCAAAUAGUGUGAUUCAGUUUGGUGUUCUGGUUUGAUUGAACUUUUCUGCUGAAUAUAUUUAUUUUGUAUGUUUUUUUUUUCUUUGACUGGCAGUAAAAUCUCUGAGAGGGGUCUCUGUACUCAAUGCAACCCCCCUCAAAGUCACCCCUCUCCUAAUUUAACAUCUGCAAGCCAGAUGGAGGGAAAAACACAAAGAAAGAGAUAAAGCCAAGCACAGAGUCAUUACUAAGGGCCAUGAUGUACCCACUUCUUUAUGUGUACAGCUGUGUUUAUGUGUACAAUUUAAGUGUAUUAGCUUGAUUGUAACUUUACAUGAGCCAGUUAUUUCCAGUUCUUUGAGACUAGCUUAAGCUUCAUGGUGAUU